rnacentral:rRNA from 1 species
UACGUAGGAGACAAGCGUUGUCCGGAAUUACUGGGUGUAAAGCGCGUGUAGGCGGUAGGCCAAGUCUGCUGUGAAAUCGCCCGGCUCAACUGGGCGCGGUCGGUGGAAACUGGUCAACUGGAGGACGGUAGAGGCGAGUGGAAUUCCCGGUGUAGUGGUGAAAUGCGUAGAGAUCGGGAGGAACACCAGUGGCGAAGGCGGCUCGCUGGGCCGGUCCUGACGCUGAGACACGAAGGCGUGGGGAGCGAACGGG